AUGAAGUUUGCUGCUUUAGUCUGCUUGGUUGUUUUCUUCGCUGCAGAUGGAGAGUCCAUGCCAGUCGAGCAGGACAGCCAAAGAGAGGACCUGCUUACCCAGUGUUUAGUUCACAUCCUUUCAAAGGCACUGUAUAAGACCGAUGAUACCCCACUGCAUCCAGAAUGCAAAAACAUCCUUACACCAGGAUCAGGUCAUUCAUCAGUUGUGAAAAAGGAGAAAGACACCCUAGAACCAUUUCAAGAGGAACUUAAAAAGCCAAGUGGAGAGUCUAAAGUCGAGGAGGAACUCAUUGAGGAUCUUCUCAAAGCUAACAAACGGGAGGAGCUGGAUGACGAACGUAGCCAGGAAGAGUUCCCAAGUUUUUUUAAAAGAAGAAUCAAAGACAGGCGUGAGGAAAUGGAUGACGAACGUAGCCAGGAAGAGUUUCCAAGUUUUAUGAAACGAAGAAUCCACGAAAAACGUGAUGAACUGGAUGAUGAACGAAGCCAGGAAGAGUUCCCAAGUUUUUUGAAAAGAAGAAUCAAAGAAAAACGUGAUGAACUGGAUUAUGAACGAAGCCAGGAAGAGUUCCCAAGUUUCUAUAAAAGAGGCAACAAGCAUAAAAGGGAAGAUCCCGACGAUGAGAGAAGCCAAGAGGAAUUUCCACAGAAAAGACAUGUUUCUGUCCUUUACAAACGUGAUAAUCCCGAUGAGGAGCGCAGCCAGGAGGAAUUCCCUCUAUAUGAAUAUAAAAGGAGUCGUCUUCUGACCAGCAGAGAAAAACGUGAAGAGCCUGACUAUGACAGAAGCCAAGAAUUUUUCCCAAGUUACACCCACAAAAGAAACUAUGGGGAAGGAGAAGAAGAGGAUGAGGAGAGUGAGGAAAGAGAGAAGCGGAUCUGGAAGCCAUCACAUAGAUACCACCACAAGAAAAAGCACCACAAACGCAGUGAGAAUGAGGAUUUUGAAGAACCAGAUUAUGACAGAAGUCAAGAAGACUUCCCAAGCUACAGCCAAAAAAGGAGCCAUGGUAAUGGCAGGCACUACAAACCAAAUGAAGACCUGCUGAACAGGCAUAUUAAAGAGGACUUAAACUCUCGGGAAGAGAGGUCUGAAGAAUCAGAAGAGGUAGACGAGGAUACCGCAAAGCGAUACUGGAAACCCACCCAUAGGUACAAUCAUAAGAAGCACCACAAACGGGACUCAUAUGAAGAGGAUUAUGAGGAAAGACCCCUGGAAAAAAGGUAUGAGGACUCAGAGGAAAGUGAGGAAUUGGAUAAAAGGAUCUGGAAGCCUACACACAGAUAUCACCAUAAGAAGCUUCAUCACAAGCGUGGCGACUCCACAGAGCUCAAGGAUGAAGAUGAACCCAUCUCAGAGAAGACUCACAGUCUCCAUGACUCAACAGGCAAUGCCCUCAAGCACCAUUCACCUGAAGAGGAAGAAGAAGAGACUGUUCAUGAGCUUAAUGAAAAGAGGCGUCCCUUAACCAGCCAAGAGGAGGAAGAUGAGCUAAAGAAAGGACACCAGAGUUCGGCAGAGAAGCAGGACAGGGAGGCUGCGUUGAGGUACUUAACAAAAAAGAAAAACGAGUUACAGGAGCGUCUGCUUAACAAAGGUGACGUCUAUGAGAAGCGUUCCCCAUGGAUUUACAGAGGAUACUACCAUCCAGCCUGGUACAAGAGAGGCCAUAAGGUGGAUGAAAGUACUGAUCAGCACCCCUACCAUAAACUAGAGGACUUUGCUGAAACUCUCCGGUACAAAAGAGGCCUGCUUACUCAGGGGGAGUCACUCGAGGAGGAAAAGGGUAUCCCCCAACAGAAGCUUCUCACACCAGAGGAGUUAAAAGAACUUGAGAAACUGGCCUCUGUGGAUCAGAUGAAAGAGACAACUUAAUCAUUCCUAGAACCAUCUGAGACAUCAUUUUCUUGUGCUGCCUGAUUUGAUUUUCCAUGAGCUUUGCGUGUGCUUUGGCUGCUUUAGAUGAAUGCAUUACUAUAUGUCGUACCUGAUUACAACUGCAUUAGAAUUUUGUAAUUGGUGUAAGUCCGUGUUUAAUGUGAGAGUCUGAGAAAUAAAAUGGUCUAUAAAAGGCA
ensembl:lncRNA